rnacentral:rRNA from 1 species
UACGUAGGUGGCAAGCGUUGUCCGGAUUUACUGGGCGUAAAGAGCACGCAGGCGGUCGUUCAAGUCGCGUGUGAAAGCCCCCGGCUCAACUGGGGAGGGUCACGCGAUACUGAUCGACUCGAAGGCAGGAGAGGGUAGUGGAAUUCCCGGUGUAGUGGUGAAAUGUGUAGAGAUCGGGAGGAACACCGGUGGCGAAGGCGGGUCUCUGGGCAUCUCCUGACGCUGAGGCGCGAAAGCGUGGGGAGCAAACGGG